rnacentral:rRNA from 1 species
GACGAACGCUGGCGGCGUGCUUAACACAUGCAAGUCGAACGAUGAACCCGGAGCUUGCUCCGGUGGAUUAGUGGCGAACGGGUGAGUAACACGUGAGAAAUCUGCCCUUGACUCUGGGAUAACUGCGGGAAACUGUAGCUAAUACCGGAUAUUUUCCUUGGUGGGCAUCCACUGGGGAAGAAAGAAUUUCGGUCAAGGAUGAUCUCGCGGCCUAUCAGCUAGUUGGUGAGGUAAGGGCUCACCAAGGCGACGACGGGUAGCCGGCCUGAGAGGGUGACCGGCCACACUGGGACUGAGACACGGCCCAGACUCCGACGGGAGGCAGCAGUGGGGAAUAUUGCACAAUGGGCGCAAGCCUGACGCAGCAACGCCGCGUGAGGGAUGAAGGCCUUCGGGUUGUAAACCUCUUUUAGCAGGGAAGAAGCGAAAGUGACGGUACCUGCAGAAAAAGCACCGGCUAACUACGCGCCAGCAGCCGCCGUAA